AAAACCUCCCCGGGGCCAUUCACAUGUGCAGCCCCGGCUGAGAACCAUGGAUCUAGAGUGAGGUCAUGGGAUCUGCAAACUUUUCAAAGCCGCACAGAUGAUCUUAAAAUUGUUAUCUCCUGUUCUCCAAUGGGGAAACUGAGGCAGAGGAAGAAGCUCUGUGUGGCUUCAGGCCUCAGAACCUGCUCAUGGUGAGGAGCUCAAAGCAUAAAGAGAGGGAGUCACUUGUUUCAGCUCUCAGGGUCCAGGAGCCUGUCUGACUCCAGAGGGGACUCAUGCCUGGGCUUCCUGUCUCCAGGGAAUCUGGACAGAGUGGUGGAAAUUUCAGGUCUCACACUCCUUGGGCUUGGGGUUGCCCAGCAAAAGGGGAUGCCCACCAUUUGUGCCACAUUUAAGUCCAUAAUGGACAAUCAGAUAAAGCUUUAAGAAUGUCAGCUCCAGGGGGAUUGCUGGAGUCUGGGUCAUUAUCAUCUCUCCUUCCUCUCUCCUUCCUCCUCCUCCUUCUCCUUCUUCUUCUUUGGGAUGUAACACUUAUUUGUGGAGAGCCUGAACCCCUUAGAUGAAUAUGGUAUCUUAUUCCCCGAAACCCUUUUGUCAUAUCUGUUGGCAGAACUUAGAAGUGUGCAUUUCACUUCCCUAAGAGAUGUGCCAAAGUCCAACGUUUUAAAAAAGAAAAAAAGAAAAAUGGGUCCCUCUGGAGUUUUCAUUCAUUUACUCAGAAAUAAUCAGAAUGUGAGCAACAAGGAUGUAGUAGGCACGAUGCUGAGCAGUAGGACAUAGAAGUGAAUAUGAUGGGUUUGGUUCCUCUCUCUGGGAGUUUAUAGCUUUGGACAGGGGCUGGCAAAGUCUAGCUGUGGGCCAACGGCUGCCUGUUUUUAUAAAUAAAGUUUUAUUGGAACAUAGCCACACUCAUCCAUUCACAAUUUGCCUGUGGCUACCUUUGCACUAAAACAGUGGAGUUGAGUCAUUGCAACAGAGACAAGAUGACCUGAAAAGUGUGGAAUCUUUACUAUCUGGCCCUUUCUGGAAAAAGUUUGCCAACCCCUGUCCUAGGAUAACAUUUAUUUUUCAAGCCCGGAAAUUUUUCUUUCAGAUGAACGUGUGUAUUUAUCCUCAAACUGGCUAUCCAUUAGGACCAGGCAGUUGGCUUCCUAAAGGAA